GAUAUUUGGAAGGUCCCGGAUGUGUUGGCCUGGUGACCAUGAUGGAUUUCCUGUGACGUCAAGUUCUGAUAGGGAAGGCAGUUGGUUGGUGAUGUCCGACGUGUUCCAGAAUGGAUUCUUUACUUACAGCAAUUUGAGUGUCGACAGUCCAUUAAAUGCGUUCCCAGACAUAUGGUGUAUGUUGUUAUAUGCAAGAUUGGGGCAAAGAUAAUUGUUGAACGGUUUUGAUCUGCAGUGGAGCAGUGUAUUGGCCACUUUAGAAACGAGUGAAGGACUGGGAACAAGUAUAUAGAAGGUCAAAUCUAAAAACUCGUUCUUAGUCCUCAACUCGUUUUCUAAAGUGGCCAAUUGGAUCUCGUAUAGGAGUGGAACAUUACUGGUCGUACUAUACUUACAAUUUUACAAGUCUUCUAUAUCUGAAGAAAGCUGCAUCUUCU